rnacentral:lncRNA from 1 species
GCAAGUCUAAUGAAAGGAAGGAUGCUAUACUUAUUGCCUUGGAAAUUGCAUAUGUGAGAAAUAUUGCAUUGGCUAGUUAAAACUAAUGUCUCACAAUUCAUCUUGGUUGAUGAAAUUUCAGAUUUGAGUCCUAUAAACCCGAAAGAAGGGAGUAUUAGAGAAAAAUAGCUUAUCCACGAGCGGCUCUGCGGUUCUAGUAGUACCACGCACGCAGGCGAUAAAUUUGAUGGGGGUAGAAAACUAGGCCAAUAUAUUGUUUCCAACGCGAACGAAACGUGUCGGUUUCCAUCUCGCUGUCGGCGUCACCACUCCCCACCCAAACGGACGGGGAGCGAGCUCUCCUACUCAUACACGAUUGCCCAUACACGAGUACUGUAUCACUAAACUACUCCGCCAGAGGACCUAGCAGACCGUUGUUAUAUGUAUCUCUCUCUCUGACACGUGCGGUCAGAGGCACCCAUGGCUCACUUGUCAGUGACAGGAGCUCGCUGUAGAACGUGUGUCAAGGCGCGUAGUAAAGUAGUCUAUGGAGCACGCCGGUGCCUUUGUUUAACGCCGAUAGAGACGACCUUCGGGGAGGGGGGAAUUUGUCGUGGACGUCCUCCGGCGAUUGGCAAAUCGCAUCAGCGUCUCGGUGAACGGAGGUUGUUGGUUCGUUGGUUGGUUGCUGUUAUCCUUAUCUUCACGUCUGAGCUCACUGCAUCUUCCACGGCCGCCGGGUCAAACAUAGAGUUCCAGUCACAAUAAUUGUAUGCUAAAGAGAAAGAGUUGUUAGGAGGAGAUGCUUUUAACUUUUAAUUUCAUGUCUAAAGUCACUAGUAGGAAGAGAAAAAUAAAUAUAUACUACUCCCUUCGUUCCUAAAUAUAAGACCUUUUAGAAAUUGCACUAUAAACU